rnacentral:rRNA from 1 species
UACGAAGGGUGCUAGCGUUGCUCGGAAUCACUGGGCGUAAAGCGCACGUAGGCGGCUUUCUAAGUCAGGGGUGAAAUCCUGGAGCUCAACUCCAGAACUGCCUUUGAUACUGGCGAUCUCGAGUCCGGGAGAGGUGAGUGGAACUGCGAGUGUAGAGGUGAAAUUCGUAGAUAUUCGCAAGAACACCAGUGGCGAAGGCGGCUCACUGGCCCGGUACUGACGCUGAGGUGCGAAAGCGUGGGGAGCAAACAGG